UCCAGCUCCUCCCACCGGGCCUGCUCUUCCUCCAGCUGGGCCUGCAUCAGGCUCUCCUGGUGCUUCAGCUCGUCCACGCUGCACUGGUGCUUCAUCUCUGCCAGCUCUUUCUGUUGGAGGAUCGGGAAGCGGCAUCGUCACCAGGGUCGUGGGGUCCCUCCUAGCCGCUGGCCUCUGCCGUGCUGUGGCCUCUCCAGCGUGGGCGGGGAUCCCCUCCCCGCAGCCCUUGCCAAGUAUUCUGAGCCUCAGGGAAAUCAGUAGGGGAAGCAGCACGGGCAGGCCGAGGGUCCGUGGGACAUCCCUGGGGUGGAGGCGCCCAGCGAAGACUCGGCCGCUCCCCCAGGCCUCCCUGACCAGGCUCUGGCCCUCUUGUAGGGCUGCACAAGGGAGAGGUGCAGUGGGUGCCCGAGCCACAGGCCUGGGCAUGAGGUCUCAGCCCUCGGCUCUGGGCCCUGCCCCCUCCGGCCCUCCUCUACCCGUCCUGCGUAUCCCCCUGCCUGCGCUGAGGGCUGCUGGAGCCCCAGGUGACAUCGCCUGUGCUAAGGCUUCAGGCCUCCGUCUCAGCAGGACAAGCCCUGAACCCCAGCGUCGCCCUCCUGCCUGUCUCCCCCCGCAACACAGAAAGCCCCCCAAGCUCACAGCCCUCACCCGUUCGUGUGCUCUGCUGGGACUGUCCACCGUUCCUCAGGGCUGCGCCAGCCUUCAGGCCCGAUGGAAAUGGGGAGGCACCGCAAGAGCCUGCCCUCAGCCCUGGUCGGCCUCGGCUGGGCCCGGCUGUCCUGCUGCCCGAGCCUGGCAGCACCAGCAGAAAAGCAGACGGCGGCCUCGAGGUGGGAGGUGGCACGACAGUGACGGGAGCAGUAAAGGCACCGCGAGGAGGGCCGCCCUGCGCUCCUCCUGUGGACGCGCCCCUCCCCAGACGCCGGGGCCUGCACGCUGACCCGCGGAGCUGGACGCACGAGGGCCACGCUACCAUGUGGUCGUCGAUGCGCUGGAAGUCCAGGUACACCAGGUCGGGGAGGUAGGCACAGAUGAACGUCCUGUAGUCCUCGGCCUCGGCGACCGGGUUCCCCGAGAGGCUGAGCGUCCGCAGGUCCUUGAACCGCCGCAGGUAGAUGAUCUGGGGGAGAGGGGGGUCGCCUGGGUCCUCUCUCCGUCCUCUGCCCGCACUGGGCGGAGCCACGAGGGAGGAGCCAUGGGCUUUGCCCAAGACCCGUGGACCUGGGUCCCCAUCUCCUCUUCUUAAGGUGGGUGCAGGGACGCGGUGCAUAGGUGUUGAGAGGACCAAAUGCCACACGCUGUGAGGGCCUCCACCUGCUCCCGUAAUGCCCUGGCUGUGCCCAUCGCUGCUGCUCUCAGAACGGGCGGCCUUUUCCAACUGUAAAGUGCUGUGCAAGGCCCAGCGCUCCUAAAUUCAACGGAACCUGAUUUACAGUUGGCCUGGACCAACUGGGUGGCAGCUAGUGGGAUGUCCACUGACGGCCGUUUAUUCUUCCUAUUGUUAGUAACCGGGGGAAAGUCAGCGAGAUGCCCGUACCUCAUCUGACCGCAACUCCUGUGCUUUCCUGAAGGAGCGUCUUUGUCAUUUGGUUUAUUUGUUCAACAAAGAUCACUAAGCACCUACCAGGCCUCAGGUACGUGCCAGGCCUUAGGGACACAGUGGGAACAAAGCCCUUAUAGCAGGAGCUGGCACUCUAAGGCAGGGGACAAGAAUGUUUUAAAAGUAAGUAGAAUCAUUGCUGUUUGGUGUAAGUGCUAGAA